AACCGGGGGAACUGAAACAUCUAAGUACCCCGAGGAAAAGAAAUCAACCGAGAUUCCCCCAGUAGCGGCGAGCGAACGGGGAGGAGCCCAGAGUCUGAAUCAGCGCGUGUGUUAGUGGAACGGUCUGGAAAGUCCGGCGGUACAGGGUGAUAGCCCCGUACACUAAAAUGCACACGUUGUGAACUCGAAGAGUAGGGCGGGACACGUGGUAUCCUGUCUGAAUAUGGGGGGACCAUCCUCCAAGGCUAAAUACUCCUGACUGACCGAUAGUGAACCAGUACCGUGAGGGAAAGGCGAAAAGAACCCCGGCGAGGGGAGUGAAAAAGAACCUGAAACCGUGU
rnacentral:rRNA from 1 species